rnacentral:rRNA from 1 species
ACGAACGCUGGCGGCAUGCCUAACACAUGCAAGUCGAACGAGACCUUCGGGUCUAGUGGCGCACGGGUGCGUAACGCGUGGGAACCUGCCCUUAGGUUCGGAAUAACUCCCCGAAAGGGGUGCUAAUACCGGAUAAUGUCUUCGGACCAAAGAUUUAUCGCCUUUGGAUGGGCCCGCGUUGGAUUAGCUAGUUGGUAGGGUAAAAGCCUACCAAGGCGACGAUCCAUAGCUGGUCUGAGAGGAUGAUCAGCCACACUGGGACUGAGACACGGCCCAGACUCCUACGGGGGGCGGAAGGGGGAAAUUUGGAACAUGGGCGAAAGCCUGAUCCAGCAUUGCCGGGUGGGUGAUGAAGGCCUUAGGGUUGUAAAGCCCUUUUACCCGGGAUGAUAAUAACAGUACCGGGAGAAUAAGCCCCGGCUAACCCCGU